rnacentral:rRNA from 1 species
CCUACGGGCGGCUGCAGUGAGGAAUAUUGGUCAAUGGUCGCAAGACUGAACCAGCCAAGCCGCGUGAGGGAGGAAGGUCCUGUGUAUUGUAAACCUCUUUUGUCAGGGAACAAAGACUGGCACGCGUCCCCGGAUGAGAGUACCUGAAGAAAAAGCAUCGGCUAACUCCGUGCCAGCAGCCGCGGUAAUACGGGGGAUGCGAGCGUUAUCCGGAUUUAUUGGGUUUAAAGGGUGCGCAGGGGGACUGUAAAGGCAGCGGUAAAAUCCCGGGGCUAAACCCCGUCCUGCCGUUGAAACUGGCGGUCUUGAGUGGGAGAGAAGUAUGCGGAAUGCGGGGUGUAGCGGUGAAAUGCAUAGAUA